AAUACGUAGGGUGCGAGCGUUAAUCGGAAUUACUGGGCGUAAAGCGUGCGCAGGCGGUUCGUUGUGUCCGAUGUGAAAGCCCCGAGCUUAACUUGGGAAUGGCAUUGGAAACUGGCGGGCUGGAGUGUGGCAGAGGGGGGUGGAAUUCCACGUGUAGCAGUGAAAUGCGUAGAGAUGUGGAGGAACACCGAUGGCGAAGGCAGCCCCCUGGGCCAACACUGACGCUCAGGCACGAAAGCGUGGGGAGCAAACAG
rnacentral:rRNA from 1 species